CUCAGAACUGCCGUCAAAGUGAACCAGCACAGGACUCUCAGAUGACCUGCUACACAGCUUUGUUUUUAAAUUUACAAGGCAAAAGAACAUGGAGAACAAAGACAGCAGGAUGACAACAGAAUGGAACUCAACAAUGGAAAACAGAAAGCAAUCAGAUAGCAAACAAACAAGAACUGACAUGAAAACCCAAAAAGAAACUUUAAAAAGACAAAGGCAACUGAUAUGUCAAGCAAUGGAGGAGAUCGAACAACUCUGGAGACAGACAGAAAGAAAGACAAAUGAAAUUGACUUCUUAAAGACAAAGACAGAGGGGCAACAGGAAGACAUUGAGAGACUGACAUCUGAAAAAAAUAAACAUCACCUACUAUUAAAGCAAUUUAACUUCCAAAUAAAAAAUAUAACUGAGAAACUCAAACAAAGCAAAAAUUCAGUUGCUAAGGAAAAAACAAACUUUCUGAAAACGUGGACUAAAAUAUAUCAAGAAAAGGAUACUCUGGACAGAAGACGUCAAUACUUCAUCAACGAGCGACACAAGCUAGACACUAUAAAAGCUAGUAAGACAGAAUCACCAAUAAGGGAGGAACCCAAAGAGCCCCUUAAUGAGCAGGUAAAGCGGGAACUGGAUAUACUGGAGAAUGCAACUGAGAAAAACAGGGAAAUAAUGCUUGAAGUAAAGAAAGUUAAAGAAAAAAUGGAGAAAACUAAAGCAAACAUACAGCAAGCAUUAAAAAGAAAUAAAAAGGACAUUUCAAAAAACAGUGAACAAAUUAACCACAUUAAACAUAUUAUGUAUGUAAAGAUCAACAUGGUCAAGCACAGAUGGGCAAGCAUUAUAAAACAGGCUGAAAUGAAGAAAAUUCACAUGUAUAAAGAAGGACAGAGAGAAAGAAACGAUGGAAAAGCCACAUUUGACACAGUGAAGAGAAAACUGUGUAGAAUCCAGGAAGAGAUGGAGAAACUUUGGGAUGUGCUGGAAGACAGUGAACAACAACUGGAAGUGACUCAAAGUGCAAAGCAGCAGCUAAUGGCAGAGAACAAUCACAUGAACAUCAAGAUGAAUAUUGAUUAUCAAAAGCAACAAGAUUCAGAUCUAAGCUUUAAAGUGACACACAUCCAGCCUGAAAGAGAUGAUUUAAAGAGAGUUGAAAUGAAACUAAAGACAGGAAGGGAAAAUGUAGAAAAAGACAAACCAAAUACUUACAUGCAGAAUUUGAUCUCUGAGGAAGAAGAAAACAAUGAAGUGCUUUGUAACAAGGGUGAAGAAACAAAGCAGAGCAUGAGGGACUUUACAGAAGUAAAGGCUCAAACGAAAUGGACAAAUUUUCGAGAAAAGCAAAAAAGAAGGGAGCUUGAGCGUUUGCUGGAGAAGAUAAGGAAAGAGAGGGAUGAGUUAGAAAUCAUGAAGACAAAAAUACAGCGACAAAAGGAAAGGGUUGAACAAAAACUGGAAAAUACUGUCACUGAGAUAAAAGGUAAAAUAGAAAAAACUGGUGCAGAAAUGAACAACACUUGGGAGAAAAUGCAGAGAACCCAAAGGGAGAUUAGUAAGAACCAGGAAGAAGCCAAGAACUAUAUGGAAAAACUGACAUCCAUGAAAACUUGGGUCAACAAAUGGAUAUUGGCACAAUCUACAAUCAAACAUACUUUUUCAGUGAACGCAUCCAAACUUCAAGAAUCACAGUAUGAAAUAGACACAGACUCCCUUGAGGAUCAAACAUCAGCAAUUCCAAAGGACAAAAAAGGGAAAAAAAGUAUAACAGAUACAACAUCAUUACAAAAUUCUGUAACAUUAGAUGAUCAGCAUCAAAAUAAAAAAAUAAAAGAACAACAGAAGGAGCAUUUUGAAUCCAAAUAUUGUUUUGCAGAAGGCAAAAAUGGGGAGCAGGACUUUUGCUUACAGAUGCGAACUGAAAUUCAUGAAGAAGUAGUGCAUGAUAAAACUGAAUUACUGAUAAUUGUAAGAGAAAGGGAAGAAGUGGAAAAACUGAUACGUAACCUAAAGCAGCAAGAGGGGGAAAUAAAGGAACAAAUAAAGUACACUAUUGAUAACAUGAACGAAAAAACUCAAGAUAUAAAAAGGCUCAUUUUGGAAAUAAAUGACCUGCAGAGGGCAGACACUGUAAUUACAGUCGGGGAAACUGAAAAUGCCCAGGAAGUAUUAACUAAGCUGUUGGAAGAAACUGAACAGAGAAAGAUUUUGAUGCUGAACACCAAAGUUUUCAAAAAUGAAAUAAUAAAAUAUGAAGUACAAGAGGGGGACGAUGCCAAAAAAAUAAAACAAGAGUCUAGCUUGAUAAGGCUUAAUGUUAACAAGCAAAAACUAAUUCAGAAAUCAGGAGAAGAGAUGAAAAAACAUGUUGAACACACCGAUGAAGAUAAAAAGGACAGAGGAGCCGAUAUACAAAGACUCAGGGCAGAGAUUUACAAAACACAAGAGAUUAUAAGAACGCUAAGAGGAGGACUUGAGAACCUAGCGGAAAAAAAUAACAUGGACAAAUAUCAACAGAAUGAAGGCAGUGAAAUUGAAGGAUUGCUAAAAGACAUCAAACAGUUUCAAGAGUUUUUGGAAAUUGUAAAAACCAAAAUAAAGCAAAGUGAAGUACAUAUGACAGAAGAAAUGAGCAAUAUAAAAUCAAUGAAAACUGCAGUGAAAAAGAAGAGAAGAGAAUUAGAUCAAAGAUUAGAAAAUACUUUGAAAGAGAGAGAUGGAUUAGACAUCUUUAAAAUAAAAAUGCAGAGGCAAACUGAACUGAUUCGGCAGAAUUUAGAAAAAAUGGCAAAAGUUAAGAGCACAGUCGAGAAAAUAGCUGCUAAGACCAGAAGGAAAAUUGAAGAGAUAGAAAUUAGUAUGAAGGAGACUGAAAUAAAACUAAGACAGUUUAAAGACCUUGACUGCAUUAACCUUAACUUGACAAAAGGCGCAAAACCAGACAUGGAACAUGGUAGUACACCUAAGCAAAGAACUGCUCUUGAAAUUUUCAAGACUGAAAUUAAGAAGACAAUGGACAAUAAAAGAGAUAAACUGACAAAAAACAAAAUGGACAAAGAAACUGAGGGAACAGAAAGCCUCAAACAAGUUAAUGAGAAACUGGAGGAGGUAAAACUUUCAUUAGACAGUCUGGGUCAAAAAAAUAAAAAAUCAGUUAGUGAGAAUGUAAAACAAAUAAUCAAGAGAGAAGAGACUGAGAUGACAGAACAGAUCCAAACAGCGAUAAAGAAUGAGAAAAUGGUUAAACAGCUAACUGAAACAGAAAUACAGGAGGAACAGGUGAACCAUUUGAGGGAGAAAACUGAAAGAAAAGAACAGGAGCUUGAUGACGGAGUACACAUGACCAAAAGGCAAAUAAGAGAAAUGGAGCUGCUGCAAUCAGAAUUGAAAAUAAAGGUAAAAGAAUUUGAGCGUUUUUUUAGAAAAAGUAUGAGAAAAAAGGAGGAAAUUGAAAUAAUGUGGUAUGAAAUACAACAAGAAAAGGAAGCAUUGAGGACCGAGAUCAAAAAGAAAAGAAGAGAAUUAGACCAAAGACUGGAGAUGACUAUGAGAAAAAGGGAUGAACUAGAAGUGUUAAGGGUAAAAUUGAAACGACAGAUGGAAGAGCUGGCUGAGGAGAAGCAGAGAGACCAUAAUCUGUUCAUCCAUCUACCCAAUGAACAUGAAAAACAUUUUGGAAGGAAAGAUGUGAAAAUGUUAAUGGAGAAAAUCAAAAACCACAGCUUAAAAGUUUCUCAGUAUACUAUUUACAUCCAAGACAUAAGAGACAAGUUUAAUUUACACAUGGGAACAAUUAGGACAGAGAUGAAAAUUCUAGAAAAUGUGAAUGCUCAUUUAGAAAAGGACAAAAAAGGAUUCAGAGAAGUUGAGGCUGAAAAUAAGAAUAUAACAAACAAAAUGAAGAGGUUAAAAUAUCAGCUUAAUAUACUCUUUGGAAGAGUUACCAUACAAGACACUGCAGAGAUGGAUGAAACAAUCAACAUCUGGGAAAAAAUCCAAAGAGAAAAACAGAAGCUUGAUAUGAGACUAGAAAAUAUUAAAAGGGAAAGACAAGAGAUAGAAGUUCUGGUGGUUGAGCUGGAGAUGAAGAAAAGAGAAAACCAACGUGUAAUCAAAAGAAGCAUUCAAAAAGAACAGAAGAUAAAAAGAAUAUGGGCUACUUUCAAAGAAGAAAGAACUGCCCUCGUGAGAGAAACAAAGCAGAAAAAGGAGGUUGAACAACGACGAGAGGAGAUCAUCAAACAUCAAGGUGAACAAGAAAUAAAGCAGAAGUUGCAAAAAGAAAAGAAAGGGAUGCAAAGUGAAAUUGAAGACAUGAGGAUGAAAGAAAAAAGGAAACAAAUUCAAAAACAAUGGGAACUAAUCAAGAAAUACUUAGGGGAAUAUAAAAAGGUAAUUAAAAACACUCAAUUCAUCAUUGGAAUAAUUCAGAAUGAAAAUAAACACAUGCAAGACCAAAAAAAUUUCUACAUGACCAAAAGGAAAGAAACACUGAAUAUUAAAAGUGAAUUAAAUAGGCAAAAGGAAAUUAUACGGUGUGCAUUAAAAAACAUACAACAAGAGCCAAAACAUGGGGAACAAGUGGAGACAAAAAUCAAGACGGAGCAAGGAAAGCAUGAAAAUGAAAGGGAAAAAAUAUAUGAGAUAGAAAAAGAUGCCUUGGAUGACUUAAGUGCAGACGAGAGUCAAGACAAAGAGGAUCUUGAAAGAGUGAAAGAGUUGUUGAAAAAGAACCAGAAACUUGACAUGAGAGGCUGUAAAAUCAAAAAAGAAAUAGACAUAUUAAAACAAAAAAAUGAAAACAUAAAAGAGGAAAGGAAAACAACUGAAAUAAAAGAAACUGAAAAAAAAAUGAAACUGAAAGAUUUCAAUAAAAUGUUUUGGGGCAAACAAAAAGAAAAACACAGUACUGAGUAUCUGACUGUAAAGAAAGAAUAUAAAAGAGAAACGACUAAGGAUGGUAUAAAAAGGGUGAUCUUACAAGACACAAAACAAGACUUGAUAAAAAAAGAGAUAAAAAAAUGUAACCAGGAAAAAGAAAAAGUCAUCCAGAUGAAAACUAGACGUGAGAAUAGAAAAGAACUGUUGUUGAAGGUAAGGAGAAACAUCAAAGAUGAAGAGAAAGAGAUGGAAAUGAGAGGAGACCAAGUCAUGGAUGAAAUGAAAUCGCUAGAGAUUCUGAAAGUGAAACUUCAACAACUGAAGGGGGAUAUAAAAGCCAAAAUGGAGAGAUUACUACAAAAUGUUGACAACAGGUCAAGGCUGCAAACAGUGUUGGAAGAAAAACUUCCAACCCAAGACGAACUGAAAGAAAGCAUUCGCUGUUUCACUGAAAUGUUAGAGAGAGAAAAGGAAGGUGUGAGAAGUAUCCUUUCAGACAUGGUCACCAAGAGAGAAUGCACAGAAAAUGAAUGGAAGCAGCAGUUUGAACUGGACAAACGAGAGCUUGAUAAAGUGAAAGAAGAUCUGAGACACGACAGAGAAGAUCUGGAGAGAGAAAGUGAGGUGCUGAAUAAAGAGAAAAUGGAUUUGAAGGUGUUGAUGUCUGACAUCAUGAAACAAUUUGAAAUAUUGGAAGAAAAGAAACAAAAUAUAAAAGAAGAACGAGACUCAAUGGAAACCAUAAAGCUUGAACUGCUCAAUAAGAUGGAACAUGUAAACAGGCUGUUACAUGAGACAAAUGACGAAAAAGCCAAGAUUAAAAAUUGUAUCCUUCAGGUUCAAAUGGAAAAAGAAAGACUUGAAGACAUUUUAAGCAAGAUUUUCUUAACACAUAAUGAAGAAAAAGUCAAGGAAUAUGGCCUCAGAAGACAAACAAAAGAAGUGGAAAUCAUGAAAAAGGAAUUACAGAGUGAAAGAGCAAAAGUGGAGAGUCUGAUGAGGAAUCUGAAGAAGAAGCAAGAAGAGCUUGAACGUGCAAAGGAAAUCAUGAGUGGAGAAAAAGAAGAGAUGAAAGAGAUGAAGACUGACAUUGCCAAAGAACGAGAACUGUUGUUGAAGGAAAGGAGAAAUAUGGAAGAAGAGCGGUCUGAGAUGGAAAUGAGAGGAGACCAAGUCAUGGAUGAAAUGAAAUUGCUAGAGAUUCUGAAAGUGAAACUUCAACAACUGAAGGAGGAUAUAAAAGCCAAAAUGGAGAGAUUACUACAAAAUGUUGACAACAGGUCAAGGCUGCAAACAGUGUUGGAAGAAAAACUUCCAACCCAAGACGAACUGAAAGAAAGCAUUCGCUGUUUCACUGAAAUGUUAGAGAGAGAAAAGGAAGGUGUGAGAAGUAUCCUUUCAGAAAUGGUCACCAAGAGAGAAAGCACAGAAAAUGAAUGGAAGCAGCAGUUUGAACUGGACAAACGAGAGCUUGAUAAAGUGAAAGAAGAUCUGAGACACGACAGAGAAGAUCUGGAGAGAGAAAGUGAGGUGCUGAAUAAAGAGAAAAUGGAUUUGAAGGUGUUGAUGUCUGACAUCAAGAAACAAUUUGAAAUAUUGGAAGAAAAGAAACAAAAUAUAAAAGAAGAACGAGACUCAAUGGAAACCAUAAAGCUUGAACUGCUCGAUAAGAUGGAACAUGUAAACAGGCUGUUACAUGAGACAAAUGACGAAAAAGCCAAGAUUAAAAAUUGUAUCCUUCAGGUUCAAACGGAAAAAGAAAGACUUGAAGACAUUUUAAGCAAGAUUUUCUUAACACAUAAUGAAGAAAAAGUCAAGGAAGAUGACCUCAGAAGUCAAACAAAAGAAGUGGAAAUCAUGAAAAAGGAAUUACAGAGUGAAAGAGCAAAAGUGGAGAGUCUGAUGAGGAAUCUGAAGAAGAAGCAAGAAGAGCUUGGGCGUGCAAAGGGAAUCAUGAGUGAAGAAAAAGAAGAGAUGAAAGAGAUGAAGACUGACAUUGCCAAAGAACGAGAACUGUUGUUGAAGGAAAGGAGAAAUAUGGAAGAAGAGCGGUCUGAGAUGGAAAUGAGAGGAGACCAAGUCAUGGAUGAAAUGAAAUUGCUAGAGAUUCUGAAAGUGAAACUUCAACAACUGAAGGAGGAUAUAAAAGCCAAAAUGGAGAGAUUACUACAAAAUGUUGACAACAGGUCAAGGCUGCAAACAGUGUUGGAAGAAAAACUUCCAACCCAAGACGAACUGAAAGAAAGCAUUCGCUGUUUCACUGAAAUGUUAGAGAGAGAAAAGGAAGGUGUGAGAAGUAUCCUUUCAGACAUGGUCACCAAGAGAGAAUGCACAGAAAAUGAAUGGAAGAAGCAGUUUGAACUGGACAAACGAGAACUUGAUAAAGUGAAAGAAGAUCUAAAACAUGACAGAGAAGAUCUGGAGAGAGAAAGUGAGGUGUUGAAUAAAGAGAAAAUGGAUUUGAAGGUGUUGAUGUCUGACAUCAAGAAACAAUUUGAAAUAUUGGAAGAAAAGAAACAAAAUAUAAAAGAAGAACGAGACUCAAUGGAAACCAUAAAGCUUGAACUGCUCAAUAAGAUGGAACAUGUAAACAGGCUGUUACAUGAGACAAAUGACGAAAAAGCCAAGAUUAAAAAUUGUAUCCUUCAGGUUCAAACGGAAAAAGAAAGACUUGAAGACAUUUUAAGCAAGAUUUUCUUAACACAUAAUGAAGAAAAAGUCAAGGAAGAUGAACUCAGAAGUCAAACAAAAGAAGUGGAAAUCAUGAAAAAGGAAUUACAGAGUGAAAGAGCAAAAGUGGAGAGUCUGAUGAGGAAUCUGAAGAAGAAGCAAGAAGAGCUUGAACGUGCAAAGGGAAUCAUGAGUGAAGAAAAAGAAGAGAUGAAAGAGAUGAAGACUGACAUUGCCAAAGAACGAGAACUGUUGUUGAAGGAAAGGAGAAAUAUGGAAGAAGAGCGGUCUGAGAUGGAAAUGAGAGGAGACCAAGUCAUGGAUGAAAUGAAAUUGCUAGAGAUUCUGAAAGUGAAACUUCAACAACUGAAGGAGGAUAUAAAAGCCAAAAUGGAGAGAUUACUACAAAAUGUUGACAACAGGUCAAGGCUGCAAACAGUGUUGGAAGAAAAACUUCCAACCCAAGACGAACUGAAAGAAAGCAUUCGCUGUUUCACUGAAAUGUUAGAGAGAGAAAAGGAAGGUGUGAGAAGUAUCCUUUCAGACAUGGUCACCAAGAGAGAAUGCACAGAAAAUGAAUGGAAGCAGCAGUUUGAACUGGACAAACGAGAGCUUGAUGAAGUGAAAGAAGAUCUGAGACACGACAGAGAAGAUCUGGAGAGAGAAAGUGAGGAGCUGAAUAGAGAGAAAAUGGAUUUGAAGGUGUUGAUGUCUGACAUCAAGAAACAAUUUGAAAUAUUGGAAGAAAAGAAACAAAAUAUAAAAGAAGAACGAGACUCAAUGGAAAUCAUAAAGCUUGAACUGCUCAAUAAGAUGGAACAUGUAAACAGGCUGUUACAUGAGACAAAUGAAGAAAAAGCCAAGAUUAAAAAUUGUAUCCUUCAGGUUCAAAUGGAAAAAGAAAGACUUGAAGACAUUUUAAGCAAGAUUUUCUUAACACAUAAUGAAGAAAAAGUCAAGGAAGAUGACCUCAGAAGACAAACAAAAGAAGUGGAAAUCAUGAAAAAGGAAUUACAGAGUGAAAGAGCAAAAGUGGAGAGUCUGAUGAGGAAUCUGAAGAAGAAGCAAGAAGAGCUUGAACGUGCAAAGGGAAUCAUGAGUGAAGAAAAAGAAGAGAUGAAAGAGAUGAAGACUGACAUUGCCAAAGAACAAGAACUGUUGUUGAAGGAAAGGAGAAAUGUGGAAGAACAGCAGUCUGGGAUGGAAAUGAGGGGAGACCAAGUCAUGGAUGAAAUGAAAUCACUAGAGAUUCUGAAAGUGAAACUAAUUGCGAGGAAAUCCCUGAAAGGUGAACUGUCUGAUGUACAACCCAGAGAGGACAUCCUCAGUAGUGUUACAAUCUCUACAAGAAACCUUAUAGGAAAACUAAAUAGACUGAUUCAUCAAGACUUGCCGACAUAUAUUAAGAGAGUAGAGGGGGAAAAUGAAAAAAUAUUACAAGUGAUCUCCACAUAUGAACAAAAUUGGGUCAGAAUUUAUAAGCAGAAAAUUAAAAUUACUGCAGAUUAUGACAAGAUACAACAACAAAAGAAACAUGUGUUUAAGACAACAUUUGACAAAGCAAUCCAAACUGAGGAUGUUGUAAAACAAUGCUUACAUGAGCAUCAGGAUGAAGAGACCAAUGAACAUGAAUUUAAGCAGAGGAUGAAGGAUGUUGCAGUUAAUCUUGAAGGAAGCAAAAGAUACUUGACACCUGACAAGGAAGGUCUGCUGUUAGUAGGAGAAGGUGAAGAAUUUGGAAAUGUCAAGAAAACAAAUCUUGCAACGUUGUCCAUCUUGUCAGCAGAGGAAGAUGACUUCACACAGAAGGGAAUUUUAAAAACUGAGUUUUUGAAACAAAUCUGGAAGGACACUAGAAUAGAACGAAAUGAAAUAAAUCAGAUGAAGCUCAGAGGUCAAGAAAUGAGAAACAAUAUGGAUAAAAGAGUAAAGGUGAUCAAUCAUUUUGUUAGGAGAUCAAUAUUUCAGAAAGAAAAGACAUCAGUUGAGAAAACAAGAAAAAUGUUGGAACAUGGGCAAAGUAAUACGUUUUUAUCUGUAAGUGGCAGGGAUGGAGAACACAAAUCACUUGAUGAAAAAUAUACCGAGCUCCAACAACUUAAGGUCCGCAUGCUUAGUGAGAUUGAGAAAUUCUACAUACAAAACAAAGCGUCUAAGACACUGACAACUAGCAACAAAGCUAAUCAAACAGUUCAACUAGAUUCUCCAAAUAUCUAUCAAGAGCAAAUAAAGGUAGAAGAAUCUGAAGCAGCACCAGAGAGAUCUCCUGGACUCCUCAGUCAGCUCAGACUUUCCUGUUAUCGCUGUUGCUCCCGUUAUUGUGCCUACUGCAAGCAAGGAUGUAUAAAGAAAAAAUGAGAGGCAAGAAAAGUGCUACAUAAAAAUCAGUCCAUUUACCUUUUGUUUUACUUUUUAGUUAUAUUAAUAUGUGUGUAUUUGGAAAAUGUGUUUUUCCCGUUAAUCAUAUUAACCUAACAACGUAAGAGUACCAGUCUGAUGUCAAUCAUCUAAUUUUUAAACAACUAGUUAUGUAAUGUAAAAGUAUUCCUUUAACAUGUUAUUUUUUUCACAAAUGCAAAAUAUUAAAGUUUAACAGAUAAUCUUAACAUUUCUAAUUACAUUUUUAUGCUGAUUUCUAAUUAAUCUUCUUUCAACAUAUUUAUUCUGUUGUCUUGUGUUAGAAUACAGAAGCACAAAGAAUACAGUAAAAUCAAAACUAACAAGAAUAUUUGAAAACUGUGACUCCAUAUAUAUUCAUAUUUAAAUGAAAGAAAAAUGCAUGUUUAACAUAAAUUUGAUCCCUAAAUAAAUCUUUUUCCAAAACCA
ensembl:lncRNA